AGAUUGAAUGGUUAGA
rnacentral:tRNA from 1 species